AUUGAACGCUGGCGGCAGGCCUAACACAUGCAAGUCGAACGAGUGGCGGACGGGUGAGUAAUGUCUGGGAAACUGCCCGAUGGAGGGGGAUAACUACUGGAAACGGUAGCUAAUACCGCAUACCAUCGGAUGUGCCCAGAUGGGAUUAGCUUGUAGGUGAGGUAACGGCUCAACUAGGCGACGAUCCCUAGCGGGUCUGAGAGGAUGACCAGCCACACGGUAACUGAGACACGGUCCCGACUCCUACGGGAGGAAGAAGGGGGGAAUAGUGCACAAUGGGCGAAAGCGUGAUGCAGCCAUGGCGGGUGUAUGAAGAAGGCCUUCGGGUUGUAAAGUACGUUCAGCGGGGAGGCGUUACCCGCAGAAGAAGCACCGGCUAACUCCGUGCCAGCAGCCGCGGUAAUAC
rnacentral:rRNA from 1 species